UCCGUAAGGAUACUCCCUAGUGUUUAUCAGGGUUUUCUGACAUGAAAUUUAGAGUUUUCCACAACGUUGUGGA
rnacentral:tRNA from 1 species